rnacentral:rRNA from 1 species
GACAGAGGGUGCAAACGUUGUUCGGAUUUACUGGGCGUAAAGCGCGUGUAGGCGGCUUUGCAAGUCGGAUGUGAAAGCCCACGGCUCAACCGUGGAAGUGCAUCCGAAACUGCAUGGCUUGAGUCUCGGAGAGGAAGGUGGAAUGCUUGGUGUAGAGGUGAAAUUCGUAGAUAUUCGGCGGAACACCAGUGGCGAAGGCGACUCACUGGCCCGAUACUGACGCUGAGGCGCAAAAGCGUGGGGAGCAAACAGG